rnacentral:tRNA from 1 species
AGUAAUGAAGUAAUUUAUACAUUUAGUUUCGACCUAAAAAUAGAAUUCUUUUCCUUUACUU